ACAAUGACUCUCGGCAACGGAUAUCUCGGCUCUCGCAUCGAUGAAGAACGUAGCGAAAUGCGAUACUUGGUGUGAAUUGCAKAAUCCCGUGAACCAUCGAGUCUUUGAACGCAAGUUGCGCCCGAAGCCAUUAGGCCGAGGGCACGUCUGGCUGGGUGUCACAC
rnacentral:rRNA from 1 species